UGUUGAACGAAUUAUGGGAUUUCUACAGAUGCGAGGAGGGAAUGAUGCCCAGGGCGAUGCAGGUGGCUAGCAGAGCUUGUUACAAGCUGGUGGCGGAUAUGCUUUACGAGGCGCGCAUCCAGGCCGUCAUCGACUACAAGGCCAGGAUCGAAAAAGUGAGGAUCUACAAAGGACCUGCGAGAGACAUCAGACUUACCCGGGAACAAUACUUGCGGGUGCCUCCGUGAUGGAUUGCCAAUGAUUAUCCGUGCUG